ACAAUCCUUCGGGUGCGUUAAUGGGCGUCSAGCGGCGGACGGGUGAGUAAUGCCUAGGAAAUUGCCUUGAUGUGGGGGAUAACCAUUGGAAACGAUGGCUAAUACCGCAUGAUGCCUACGGGCCAAAGAGGGGGACCUUCGGGCCUCUCGCGUCAAGAUAUGCCUAGGUGGGAUUAGCUAGUUGGUGAGGUAAUGGCUCACCAAGGCGACGAUCCCUAGCUGGUCUGAGAGGAUGAUCAGCCACACUGGAACUGAGACACGGUCCAGACUCCUACGGGAGGCAGCAGUGGGGAAUAUUGCACAAUGGGCGAAAGCCUGAUGCAGCCAUGCCGCGUGUAUGAAGAAGGCCUUCGGGUUGUAAAGUACUUUCAGUUGUGAGGAAGGGUGUGUAGUUAAUAGCUGCGCAUCUUGACGUUAGCAACAGAAGAAGCACCGGCUAACUCCGUGCCAGCAGCCGCGGUAAUACGGAGGGUGCGAGCGUUAAUCGGAAUUACUGGGCGUAAAGCGCAUGCAGGUGGUUCAUUAAGUCAGAUGUGAAAGCCCGGGGCUCAACCUCGGAACUGCAUUUGAAACUGGUGAACUAGAGURCUGUAGAGGGGGGUAGAAUUUCAGGUGUAGCGGUGAAAUGCGUAGAGAUCUGAAGGAAUACCAGUGGCGAAGGCGGCCCCCUGGACAG
rnacentral:rRNA from 1 species